GAGUUUGAUUCUGGCUCAGAACGAACGCUGGCGGCGCGUCUUAAGCAUGCAAGUCGAACGGUAAGGGAGAGCUUGCUCUCCCCUAGAGUGGCGGACUGGUGAGUAACGCGUGGGUGACCUGCCCUGAAGAUGGGGAUAGCUAGUAGAAAUAUUAGAUAAUACCGAAUGUGCUCAUUUACAUAAAGGUAAAUGAGGAAAGGAGCUACGGCUCCGCUUCAGGAUGGGCCCGCGUCCCAUUAGCUGGUUGGUGAGGUAAAGGCCCACCAAGGCAACGAUGGGUAUCCGGCCUGAGAGGGUGAACGGACACAUUGGGACUGAGAUACGGCCCAAACUCCUACGGGAGGCAGCAGCUAAGAAUCUUCCGCAAUGGACGAAAGUCUGACGGAGCGACGCCGUGUGAAUGAAGAAGGCCGAAAGGUUGUAAAAUUCUUUUGCAGAUGAAGAAUAAAACACAGGAGGGAAUGCCCCUGUGAGAUGA
rnacentral:rRNA from 1 species